GCAAGAGGUGCGUAUUGUAACUCUAUGUCUAACUCCUGUUGAAGUUAAUCUAGGGAAUACCGUUUUCAGUAGAAUGCUGAUUAUUUCAUUUAUUAUCUUCACAGCUACUUUAAAGGAAGCAAAACAAAGGUUUUUAAGGCCAAUUAGCCAGAAAAAAAUGGAUGAACACCUCCUGGAACCUCUGAAGGACCUGCAUUUACUGUUCUGGACUUAAAUUCUGAGUUCCUCAGAAGAAAGAGCUGACUGUUAUUUGCUGAAGAAGAAGAGAAUGAAUCUGCUACAAAAGCUAAAAUGAACAAGAGAAGAUCUAGGGCCCUUUUUUUUUUUUUUUGCUCCAUGUAGAAACUUAGACUUGCAUGGAGCUCCACAGAAGAUGGGGGAUGAGUCUUUGAUUAAAACAAAAAUAUUUAAUGCUAAGCUAGCACAAAUAUUAAUUGAGUAGAAGAUAAGUUGUAUUUUGGCUUUGCCUCUUCUGUAGUAAAUAUAUUCUUUUCUUAAGUUAUUUUCCAUGGAUAAUCCCCAAGAGACACUUCUGAAGUGAUAUGAAGAAAAAUAGAGCAGGUCUGAGCUUUCAUCUCCCUUUGUGGGAAUUUCCAAGCUGUACUCAUGAGAGAUAUGGACAAACUGGCAGGGCAGAAAUA
rnacentral:lncRNA from 1 species